rnacentral:rRNA from 1 species
UGGACCUGAUAUCAGCAAGAUCCC